UACGUAGGGGGCUAGCGUUAUCCGGAAUUAUUGGGCGUAAAGGGCGUGUAGGCGGUUAUUUAAGUCAGGUGUGAAACACCACGGCUCAACCGUGGGGUUGCACUUGAAACUGGAGGACUUGAGUGCAGGAGAGGAGAAUGGAAUUCCUAGUGUAGCGGUGAAAUGCGUAGAGAUUAGGAAGAACACCAGUGGCGAAGGCGAUUCUCUGGACUGUAACUGACGCUGAGGCUCGAAAGCGUGGGGAGCAAACAGGAUUAGAUACCCCGGUAGUCCCUGAG
rnacentral:rRNA from 1 species